GCCGGGUGUGGUGGCGCAUGCCUGUAAUCCCAGCUACUCAGGAGGCUGAGGCAGGAGAAUCGCUUGAACUCAGGAGGUGGAGGUUGCAGUGAGCCGAGAUCAUGUCACUGUACUCCAGCCUGGGUGACAGAGCAAGACUCUGUCUCAG
rnacentral:SRP_RNA from 2 species